AGUAACUCACGGAUACCUAGAAGGGCCCAGUAAAGAGUUAACAGCAGCGGCCCGGAUCUGCCAGUGAAAUUCGCAUUUAUUUAGUACAGAUUAAAUAACAAAGGUCUUGAGUAAACACCACUAGAAGGUAAUUGACAUUGCCGACCUCCCCAAGAGUAGUUCCCCCAGCAUAAGAUUAAAUGUUGGUUUUAGGACCGCCUGAGUAAACAAGUUAUUUAGAUAAACUCCUCUACAUUCUUGUGUAUCUAUGCCCUAAGCUUUUAAGAUAAUUCAGCUUCCUUCGGCCAAACCUUUUACUUGAAGCUAUGCAAACCACAAGGUUCCAAGGUUUGUGACUCUUUCCUAUAACUAUCUUUAUAAUUUUUCUCCAAAAAUAUUUCCCACCACCUUGACCGAAGUCCCACAGUUGAGAAGACAGGGAAGAGCAUCAAACAAGCAAGAAAAAAUUAGAACAAUUUUGACCAUAAGAAAGUAAAAUGUUGGUCAGGUCUUUCAACACAGAUCAAAAUAAAAGGGAGAUUAGGGCCAUGCUAUGAGGACACUGAAUGGCAGCCUAUGUAAUGGGAACUUUAUCCCACAGAUAAGAGAAGUCACUGGAAAGCUUUGAAAAGGUCACAAACAUGACAAACAGCAUUUCCAGGAAGAUUACUGUGACCAAUAUUAGGCAAGAGAAGUUGGGAAAUGAUCUUCAACUUUGGACACUUAAUAGAAAUAUCUAAAAGAUCUAUAUUUCUUUUCUUUCCUUUUCAUGUUUAAUUUUGAAAUAAUUUCAGACUUUCUAAAAUGUUCCAAAAAUAGGAAAAGUCCUCAAAUGCUUUUCAUUCAACUUCCUUAAAUAGUAACAUUAUAGAUAUGCACCUAAUAAUCAAAAUCAAUAAAUGAUUAUUAACACUGUAAAAUGAAAGCCUGUAGAGACCUUAUCCAAAUCCCCUCUAUGUUCUGACUAAUGUCCUUUUUCUGGACCAGGAUCCAAUCUAGUAUCACAUAUUGCUCUUCAUUGUACUGUUCCCUCAGUCUUCUUUAGUCUGGGAAAGUUAGGAUUUACCUUUAAGAGCUUCAAAAUUUUGAAGAGUAUUGGUUACUUAUUUCAUAGCAGACCCUCAUUUUGGACUUUUCUAAUAUUUUCUCACGAUUAAACUCAGGUUAUACAGUUUGUAGAAGAAUACCACAAGGAUGAUGCUGCACCUCCUCCAUCUAUUAUAUUAGAAUGCCCUAAGAUGUCGUCAUCUCUGACUACUGGAGACGUUAACUUUGAUCACUGGGUUAAAGUUCCUCCACUGCAAAAUGACCCUUUUCUUUCAAAGCAUUUUUAAACAACCAAUCUCUGGGCUACAUCACACAUUAGCCAAAUCAGAUAGGCUUGAGGGAUGGUACAGGCAUUGGUAGGCUUUAAAUGCUCUACAGCUGACUGUAAUCAAUAUCUGGAAAUGGAAACAUAUGGCUUAGACAGUGAAGAAUAGAAUCCUGAAAAUCAGCUAGGAGACCAUUGCUAAGGCUUCUCUUAAAAAAAAAAAUCUAAUUCUAAACAAAAGCAAAUAGAUGUGGAUUUUGGCAUGGACAUAUGGUAGAGAAAUUGAGGAAAAAUAGAAAUCACCUGAUGGGGAAAGAGAUGCGUAAGCAGACUGCAGUCCAAUUAAAAAAAGAAAAGGCAGAAUCAGGUGUGGUGACACUUGCUUGUAAUUCCAGCAUUUUGGGAGGGAAAGUGGGCAGAUCACGUGGGCCUAGAAGUUUGAGAAAAGCCUGGGAUUUCACCAGCCUGGGUGAAACCCCAUCUCUCCAGAAACAAACACAAAAAAUUAGCUAGGCAUGGGGGCACGUGCCUGUGAUUCCAGCUACUCAGGAAGCCGAGGCAGGAGGAUCGCUUGAGCUCACAAGGUUGAGAUUGCAGUCAAUUAUGAUCUCGCCACUGCACUUCAGCCUGGG
rnacentral:lncRNA from 1 species